GGGUGCCUACGGGACGCAGCAGUGAGGAAUAUUGGUCAAUGGGCUUACGCCUGAACCAGCCAAGUCGCGUGAGGGAAGACUGCCCUAUGGGUUGUAAACCUCUUUUGUCAGGGAGCAACGCCGGCUACGUGUAGCCGGACUGAGAGUACCUGAAGAAAAAGCAUCGGCUAACUCCGUGCCAGCAGCCGCGGUAAUACGGAGGAUGCGAGCGUUAUCCGGAUUUAUUGGGUUUAAAGGGUGCGUAGGCUGAAUGCCA
rnacentral:rRNA from 1 species